rnacentral:lncRNA from 1 species
CGAAAAGCCAAGGAAAGACAAAUCUGCUGAGCCAGUAAAAGUAGAAUUUAUGGCAGGAGUUAAACUGAUAUGAAAGAUGCUUUCUUUUGCAUUUCCUUGGAAGAGCAAAGCCAGAAAUUGUUUGCUUUUGCAUGGGAAAGCCCAAUAACAGAGACAAAGACCCAGCAGUGUUGGAUGGUGUUUCCCCAAGGAUUCAAGAACAGCCCUACACUGUUUGGUAAUGUACUGGCUAAAGAAUCGGAACAAUGGCAAGGUAUGUGCAAUUAGGAACUCCUGGAUGUGCCCAUACAUUCCUUCAAACCAUGGGACCAAGUGUAUCUCCAAACCUCUGGUUGAGAAGUGAAAAGAAUCUUAUCUGAUACUUCCUAACAACAGAUACUGCAGUAAAAGUAAAGGAUUGAGUCCUGAAUUCAUUACACCAGGACAAAAACAUGUCCAUGUGAGAAGUGGAGAAGUGAAGAAUUUCCUAAAGCCAAAGAUCAAGAGAAAUGCAUAAACUGCACCCAGAAUAGACUGGGUGCUUAUUUAGGACUAGGUUGUACUCUGGGGAUAUUACUCUUUGCUUUUGUAACUUUGAUUUUACUCAUUCUAUAUUUCACAUGUUUUUUACAGGUGUCUUGUUGGUAAUUUUAGCCUCUGUCUGUUUAUAUGUUGUAUUGCAGUGUAUAGACAAGUGUUGCUGGAUGUCGGUGAACAAAACCUCAGAGAAAAUGAGACUAAUCUAGACUGCACUGUUAGAUAUGUUUCCAAGGGGGGAAUUGUUGUGAGUCAAGUGGGA